rnacentral:pre_miRNA from 1 species
CAUAAAGUAGAAAGCACUACUAAACUCUUCGCCACAGUGUAGUGUUUCCUACUUUAUGGA